rnacentral:rRNA from 1 species
ACGGGUGAGUAAUGUCUGGGGAUCUGCCCGAUAGAGGGGGAUAACCACUGGAAACGGUGGCUAAUACCGCAUAACGUCGCAAGACCAAAGAGGGGGACCUUCGGGCCUCUCACUAUCGGAUGAACCCAGAUGGGAUUAGCUAGUAGGCGGGGUAAUGGCCCACCUAGGCGACGAUCCCUAGCUGGUCUGAGAGGAUGACCAGCCACACUGGAACUGAGACACGGUCCAGACUCCUACGGGAGGCAGCAGUGGGGAAUAUUGCACAAUGGGCGCAAGCCUGAUGCAGCCAUGCCGCGUGUAUGAAGAAGGCCUUCGGGUUGUAAAGUACUUUCAGCGGGGAGGAAGGCGACGGGGUUAAUAACCCUGUCGAUUGACGUUACCCGCAGAAGAAGCACCGGCUAACUCCGUGCCAGCAGCCGCGGUAAUACGGAGGGUGCAAGCGUUAAUCGGAAUUACUGGGCGUAAAGCGCACGCAGGCGGUCUGUUAAGUCAGAUGUGAAAUCCCCGGGCUUAACCUGGGAACUGCAUUUGAAACUGGCAGGCUUGAGUCUUGUAGAGGGGGGUAGAAUUCCAGGUGUAGCGGU